rnacentral:rRNA from 1 species
UACGUAGGGGGCAAGCGUUGUCCGGAUUUAUUGGGCGUAAAGAGCGUGUAGGCGGCCAAGUAAGUCUGCUGUGAAAACUCGAGGCUUAACCUCGAGCUGUCGGCGGAAACUAUUUGGCUAGAGUCCGGAAGAGGAGAAUGGAAUUCCCGGUGUAGCGGUGAAAUGCGCAGAUAUCGGGAAGAACACCCGUGGCGAAGGCGGCUUCCUGGGGCACCACUGACGCUGAGAAGCGAAAGCUAGGGGAGCAAACGGG